AUGAACGCUGGCGGCGUGCUUCACACAUGCCAGUCGAACGGGAAACUUUUCAUUGAAGCUUCGGCAGAUUUGGUCUGUUUCUAGUGGCGGACGGGUGAGUAACGCGUGGGUAACCUGCCUUAUACAGGGGGAUAACAACCAGAAAUGGUUGCUAAUACCGCAUAAGCGCACAGGACCGCAUGGUCCGGUGUGAAAAACUCCGGUGGUAUAAGAUGGACCCGCGUUGGAUUAGCUAGUUGGCAGGGUAACGGCCUACCAAGGCGACGAUCCAUAGCCGGCCUGAGAGGGUGAACGGCCACAUUGGGACUGAGACACGGCCCAGACUCCUACGGGAGGCAGCAGUGGGGAAUAUUGCACAAUGGGGGAAACCCUGAUGCAGCGACGCCGCGUGAAGGAAGAAGUAUCUCGGUAUGUAAACUUCUAUCAGCAGGGAAGAUAGUGACGGUACCUGACUAAGAAGCCCCGGCUAACUACGUG
rnacentral:rRNA from 1 species